GCCAGAUACCUUCUCACAGCCUCAGGGUCUUGGUGGCCUGCCAGACCAGCCAGGAGCCCUGCUAGAGCCAACGUAACACUUGGGGGCUCAUGAUGGGUGGGGGCCAUGGGCUGGGCUCAGAGAGAAAGUCCCGGCUCAGACCCCAGUGUCCCCACGUCCUUGCUGGAUGACUGGGCAAGUUCCUUGGCUUCCUGACCUGUCAAACAGAGUGAGCUUAUUCUUCUGUUUACAUUAAUUGAAAUUUCCAGUCCUGCAGGUAUUGAUCAGCUCCCACUCCAUACCCGAUGCUGCAUGUGGCUCUAGGGCUGAAUGUGAUGUGGGUUGUGGCCAGCUUGUUCCUAACCAUCCAGCUUCUUCUGGGUUCCUCUGGGGCUUUUGUCCUGGGGUCUGUCCUAGUCCAGGCUUUGGGCUGGCAUGGAGCUGGAGCCUCUGACCCUACAUGCGGACAUAUGCCCAGGUGGUCCCAGCCCCAUCUGUCUCUUGGUGUUGCUCCAUGCUGGAAGCGGCUGUGGUCUGUGUCUAACAGACAGGCCCUGUGGGUCUGCCCAAAGCCGCAUACUCCAGGCCCCUGGGGACGUGUGCUCUGCCACUCUCUGAGGCCAGCUCUGCACCAUCUGCCUGAGAGCCCCAGUGGACGGAGACCAGCUGCUCACUAGCUGCCUUGGCUUGUCUAGGAGGGUCUCAGUUUUAGCAUCCAAAGUCCCAUGUGCCAGAAAAUCCUCUGGCCUGGGCAGAGCGGGCAGGUGGUUGCUAUAUCAUAAACACACCCCUGUGGCUUCCCCCUUUUCUGUGCCCUUCCACACUGCCCUCCCCCUGCUCCUGGGGAUCACUUCCCAAAUAAACAGCUUGCAUCUAGGAUCCUGUCUCACAGUGGGCUUCCAGGGAACCCAGGCUAAGAUGGGCAAUGUCUGCUUUGCCUGCCACAGGCUUUUUAUUAGGGUCGAGUGAGCUUAUAAGGAAUCUGCACGUGCGUGAUAAAGAAUGAAGCACUACUGGGCGGACACGAUGGCUCAUGCCUAUAAUCCUAGCACUUUGGGAGGCUGAGGCGGUGGAUCACUUGAGGUCAAGAAUUUGAGACCAGCCUCACCAACAUUUUGAAACUCUGUCUCUACUAAAAAUACAAAAAUUAAAUGGGUGUGGUGGCGUAGACCUGUAGUACCAGCUACUUGGGAGGCUGAAGCAUGAGAAUUGCUUGAACCCAGGAGGCAGAGGUUGCAGUGAGCCAAGAUCUCGCCCCUGCACUCUACCCUGGGCUUCAGAGCGGGACUCCAUCUCAAAUAAUAAUAAUUAAUAAUAAUAGUAAAGCACUGUAGCAUGCCUGUGGGGAUUUUCAUGACUAUCAGAGCUGUCCCCAUGAACAGGACUCAAAACAGGCACAUUUCACGGGGAAGAGGAGUGAAAGAGUGAGAUGCAGUAAGGAUAUUUCUGGGGAGAUCCAAGCCUAGUUAGGGGGAGCUGGGCAUCUAAGGGCAGCGUGCGGGGACUU
rnacentral:lncRNA from 1 species